GGAAAUGUAGCUUAAUUGGUUAAAGCGCCGACCUGUCACGUCGGAGACUGUGGGUUCGAGUCCCAUCUUUUUCG
rnacentral:tRNA from 2 species